rnacentral:rRNA from 1 species
GUACUGCGAAACUGCGAAUGGCUCAUUAAAUCAGUUAUCGUUUAUUUGAUAGUACCUUACUACUUGGAUAACCGUGGUAAUUCUAGAGCUAAUACAUGCUGCAAAGCCCGACUUCGGAAGGGCUGUAUUUAUUAGAUUAAAAACCAAUGCCCUCACGGGCUCACUGGUGAUUCAUGAUAACUUCUCGAAUCGCACGGCCUUGCGCCGGCGAUGGUUCAUUCAAAUUUCUGCCCUAUCAACUUUCGACGGCUGGGUCUUGGCCAGCCGUGGUGACAACGGGUAACGGAGGGUUAGGGCUCGACCCCGGAGAAGGAGCCUGAGAAACGGCUACUACAUCCAAGGAAGGCAGCAGGCGCGCAAAUUACCCAAUCCCGACACGGGGAGGUAGUGACAAUAAAUACUGAUACAGGGCUCUUUUGGGUCUUGUAAUUGGAAUGAGUACAAUUUAAUUCCCUUAACGAGGAACAAUUGGAGGGCAAGUCUGGUGCCAGCAGCCGCGGUAAUUCCAGCUCCAAUAGCGUAUAUUAAAGUUGUUGCAGUUAAAAAGCUCGUAGUUGAACCUUGGGCCUGGCUGGCCGGUCCGCCUCACCGCGUGCACUGGUCCGGCCGGGCCUUUCCCUCUGGGGAGCCGCAUGCCCUUUACUGGGCGUGCCGGGGAACCAGGACGUUUACUUUGAAAAAAUUAGAGUGUUCAAAGCAGGCUUAUGCUCGAAUACAUUAGCAUGGAAUAAUGGAAUAGGACGCGUGGUUCUAUUUUGUUGGUUUCUAGGACCGCCGUAAUGAUUAAUAGGGACAGUCGGGGGCAUCAGUAUUCAGCUGUCAGAGGUGAAAUUCUUGGAUUUGCUGAAGACUAACUACUGCGAAAGCAUUUGCCAAGGAUGUUUUCAUUAAUCAGGAACGAAAGUUAGGGGAUCGAAGACGAUCAGAUACCGUCGUAGUCUUAACCAUAAACUAUGCCGACUAGGGAUCGGACGGUGUUAUUCUUUGACCCGUUCGGCACCUUACACGAAAGUACAAGUUUCNGGGC